rnacentral:tRNA from 1 species
GCGGAUGUGGCGGAAUUGGUAGACGCUCCAGACUUAGAAUCUGGUGCCGCGAGGCGUGGGGGUUCGAGUCCCUUCAUCCGCAC